rnacentral:rRNA from 1 species
AGGGUUUGAUCAUGGCUCAGAUUGAACGCUGGUGGUAUGCUUAACACAUGCAAGUCGAACGGUAACAUUGGAGCUUGCUCCAGAUGACGAGUGGCGGACGGGUGAGUAACGCGUAGGAAUCUGCCUAGUAGUGGGGGACAACAUGUGGAAACGCAUGCUAAUACCGCAUACGCCCUACGGGGGAAAGCGAGGGAUCUUCGGACCUCGCGCUAUUAGAUGAGCCUGCGUUAGAUUAGCUAGUUGGUGGGGUAAUGGCCUACCAAGGCGACGAUCUAUAGCUGGUCUGAGAGGACGAUCAGCCACACUGGGACUGAGACACGGCCCAGACUCCUACGGGAGGCAGCAGUGGGGAAUAUUGGACAAUGGGCGAAAGCCUGAUCCAGCAAUACCACGUGUGUGAAGAAGGCCUGAGGGUUGUAAAGCACUUUCAAUUGGGAGGAAAACAGCUGGGUUAAUAGCCCUGCUCUUGACAUUACCUUUAGAAGAAGCACCGGCUAACUCCGUGCCAGCAGCCGCGGUAAUACGGAGGGUGCGAGCGUUAAUCGGAAUUACUGGGCGUAAAGCGUACGUAGGCGGUUAUUUAAGUCAGAUGUGAAAGCCCCGGGCUCAACCUGGGAACUGCAUUUGAUACUGGAUAACUAGAGUUUGAUAGAGGAGAGUAGAAUUUCUGGUGUAGCGGUGAAAUGCGUA